UUGAGAUUCUGAUAUUUGUGCUUCACCAAUACUUUCGUCAACUGAUUUUGUGAUCUACACACGUUCAUACAAAUUAAAUAAAAUAAUAUUUAUGAAGAACUAAAAAACUAAUCAAUAUGUAUUCAACAUACCAGAGCGACACAAACAUCUUUUGCUUCAUGAACAUCUAUAUCAAUUUUUUUCUUUAAAAAAUUAAAUAAUAAAAAAUUAAAAUAAGUUUUUUUUUAUCAUUAUAACUAUACGUAACAAAAAAAAUCUCUACCUGAACAAUGUCAUUAUCCUCAUUGUACCCAUCAAGCUCAUUAUACACAUCAUUCAUACUGUUGCUUUGAUAUCCUGCCAUCUCUUCGGCAACCUAUUUUAAUAUUAUUUUUUAUAAUAAUAAAUUAAAAUUGUAUAUAUAAAAUUAGUUGAAUAUAAAUGUACGGAAUUUACUUAUCAAUGUGACAUCAGGAUUCUUAUUAAACUCAUGAACAAAUUUUAUAGUCGUUUGAUGGGGUGAUGUACUCUUAACAUUUUAUCCGUUGGUGGCUGAUCAGAUUCGCUGCCUUUUGCUUGUUUCUUCGCGUUUAAAACAUGAAAAUAUAAAUAAAAAAAUUAGUAAAUAACAACUUAGUUGUAAAAAAAUACAUAUGCUGUAAAUGUAUAUAUGUUGUACCUUAUUUUCAUUGAUUGCAUUCAUUAUUUGAUCAAACCUGGAAGACACUAGGCCACGAACAUCAUUAAACUCUUGUCAUACCUGAAUUAUAAAAAAAAAAUUAGAAAUGAAAAAAUAAAUUAAUCAAAAGCUUAAAGAAAAAUUACCUUUUCACAAAACUUAUCAAAGACUUUCUUCGAGACAACACCGUCUUCAUCUUCAGAACUGAACGAAGACGGAACAGGUGACUGAACCGAAAUAGAUUUUUUACUGUCAGGCCGAUUUGUGUCUUUCCUAUUUUCACGUAGCGUAACUUUGUUGGAAUUGGCUUGUGAAUUGGAGUCCUGACAAAAGGCAUCUUUGCAGCAC
rnacentral:lncRNA from 1 species